AACGAACGCUGGCGGCAUGCCUAACACAUGCAAGUCGAACGAGACCUUCGGGUCUAGUGGCGAACGGGUGCGUGACGCGUGGGAACCUGCCCUUAGGUUCGGAAUAACUCUCCGAAAGGGGUGAUAAUACCUGAUAAUGUCUUCGGACUAAAGAUUUAACGCCUUUGGAUGGGUCCGCGUUGGAUUAGCUAGUUGGUAGGGUAAAAGACUACCAAGGCGACGAUCCAUAGCUGGUCUGAGAGGAUGUUCAGCCACACUGGGAGUGAGACACGGCCCGGACUCCUACGGGAGGCAGCAGUGGGGAAUAUUGGACAACGGGCGAAAGCAUGAACCAGCAAUGCCGCGAGAGUGAUGAAGGCCUUAGGGUAGUAAAGCUCUUUUACCCGGGAUGAUAAUGACAGUACCGGGAGAAUAAGCUCCGGCUAACUCCGUG
rnacentral:rRNA from 1 species